CUUUUUUUAUUAUUAUACAGGCGGCGUUUCUCUUAAUGCAGGGGAAACGUUUAACCGAGAUUGCGAUGGGUCGUGUUACGUGCAUGGAAACUUGCUGACGUCAAUCCAGGGAAUAUCCGAAGACACCAAACCCUGGGAGUGAAAACGCCUUUCCGAGAUGCAAUGAGUCGUGCGAUGUGGAUGGACAUGGAAAUAUCCCAAACCCAGGGAUCCCAUACGACACCAAAGCCGUGGCGGCGUUUCUCUUAAUGCAGGGGAAACGUUUAACGGAGAUUGCGAUGGGUCGUGUUACGUGCAGUGAAACUUGCUGACGUCAAUCCAGGGAAUAUCCGAAGACACCAAACCCUGGGAGUGAAAACGCCUUUCCGAGAUGCAAUGAGUCGUGCGAUGUGGAUGGACAUGGAAAUAUCCCAAACCCAGGGAUCCCAUACGACACCAAAGCCGUGGCGGCGUUUCUCUUAAUGCAGGGGAAACGUUUAACCAAGAUUGCGAUGGGUCGUGUUACGUGCAUGGAAACUUGCUGACGUCAAUCCAGGGAAUAUCCGAAGACACCAAACCCUGGGAGUGAAAACGCCUUUCCGAGAUGCAAUGAGUCGUGCGAUGUGGAUGGAAAUGGAAAUAUCCCAAACCCAGGGAUCCCAUACGACACCAAAGCCGUGGCGGCGUUUCUCUUAAUGCAGGGGAAACGUUUAACCGAGAUUGCGAUGGGUCGUGUUACGUGCAUGGAAACUUGCUGACGUCAAUCCAGGGAAUAUCCGAAGACACCAAACCCUGGGAGUGAAAACGCCUUUCCGAGAUGCAAUGAGUCGUGCGAUGUGGAUGGACAUGGAAAUAUCCCAAACCCAGGGAUCCCAUACGACACCAAAGCCGUGGCGGCGUUUCUCUUAAUGCAGGGGAAACGUUUAACCGAGAUUGCGAUGGGUCGUGUUACGUGCAGUGAAACUUGCUGACGUCAAUCCAGGGAAUAUCCGAAGACACCAAACCCUGGGAGUGAAAACGCCUUUCCGAGAUGCAAUGAGUCGUGCGAUGUGGAUGGACAUGGAAAUAUCCCAAACCCAGGGAUCCCAUACGACACCAAAGCCGUGGCGGCGUUUCUCUUAAUGCAGGGGAAACGUUUAACCGAGAUUGCGAUGGGUCGUGUUACGUGCAUGGAAACUUGCUGACGUCAAUCCAGGGAAUAUCCGAAGACACCAAACCCUGGGAGUGAAAACGCCUUUCCGAGAUGCAAUGAGUCGUGCGAUGUGGAUGGACAUGGAAAUAUCCCAAACCCAGGGAUCCCAUACGACACCAAAGCCGUGGCGGCGUUUCUCUUAAUGCAGGGGAAACGUUUAACCGAGAUUGCGAUGGGUCGUGUUACGUGCAUGGAAACUUGCUGACGUCAAUCCAGGGAAUAUCCGAAGACACCAAACCCUGGGAGUGAAAACGCCUUUCCGAGAUGCAAUGAGUCGUGCGAUGUGGAUGGACAUGGAAAUAUCCCAAACCCAGGGAUCCCAUACGACACCAAAGCCGUGGCGGCGUUUCUCUUAAUGCAGGGGAAACGUUUAACCGAGAUUGCGAUGGGUCGUGUUACGUGCAUGGAAACUUGCUGACGUCAAUCCAGGGAAUAUCCGAAGACACCAAACCCUGGGAGUGAAAACGCCUUUCCGAGAUGCAAUGAGUCGUGCGAUGUGGAUGGACAUGGAAAUAUCCCAAACCCAGGGAUCCCAUACGACACCAAAGCCGUGGCGGCGUUUCUCUUAAUGCAGGGGAAACGUUUAACCGAGAUUGCGAUGGGUCGUGUUACGUGCAUGGAAACUUGCUGACGUCAAUCCAGGGAAUAUCCGAAGACACCAAACCCUGGGAGUGAAAACGCCUUUCCGAGAUGCAAUGAGUCGUGCGAUGUGGAUGGACAUGGAAAUAUCCCAAACCUAGGGAUCCCAUACGACACCAAAGCCGUGGCGGCGUUUCUCUUAAUGCAGGGGAAACGUUUAACCGAGAUUGCGAUGGGUCGUGUUACGUGCAUGGAAACUUGCUGACGUCAAUCCAGGGAAUAUCCGAAGACACCAAACCCUGGGAGUGAAAACGCCUUUCCGAGAUGCAAUGAGUCGUGCGAUGUGGAUGGACAUGGAAAUAUCCCAAACCCAGGGAUCCCAUACGACACCAAAGCCGUGGCGGCGUUUCUCUUAAUGCAGGGGAAACGUUUAACCGAGAUUGCGAUGGGUCGUGUUACGUGCAUGGAAACUUGCUGACGUCAAUCCAGGGAAUAUCCGAAGACACCAAACCCUGGGAGUGAAAACGCCUUUCCGAGAUGCAAUGAGUCCGUGCGAUGUGGAUGGACAUGGAAAUAUCCCAAACCCAGGGAUCCCAUACGACACCAAAGCCGUGGCGGCGGUUCUCUUAAUGCAGGGGAAACGUUUAACCGAGAUUGCGAUGGGUCGUGUUACGUGCAUGGAAACUUGCUGACGUCAAUCCAGGGAAUAUCCGAAGACACCAAACCCUGGGAGUGAAAACGCCUUUCCGAGAUGCAAUGAGUCGUGCGAUGUGGAUGGACAUGGAAAUAUCCCAAACCCAGGGAUCCCAUACGACACCAAAGCCGUGGCGGCGUUUCUCUUAAUGCAGGGGAAACGUUUAACCGAGAUUGCGAUGGGUCGUGUUACGUGCAUGGAAACUUGCUGACGUCAAUCCAGGGAAUAUCCGAAGACACCAAACCCUGGGAGUGAAAACGCCUUUCCGAGAUGCAAUGAGUCGUGCGAUGUGGAUGGACAUGGAAAUAUCCCAAACCCAGGGAUCCCAUACGACACCAAAGCCGUGGCGGCGUUUCUCUUAAUGCAGGGGAAACGUUUAACCGAGAUUGCGAUGGGUCGUGUUACGUGCAUGGAAACUUGCUGACGUCAAUCCAGGGAAUAUCCGAAGACACCAAACCCUGGGAGUGAAAACGCCUUUCCGAGAUGCAAUGAGUCGUGCGAUGUGGAUGGACAUGGAAAUAUCCCAAACCCAGGGAUCCCAUACGACACCAAAGCCGUGGCGGCGUUUCUCUUAAUGCAGGGGAAACGUUUAACCGAGAUUGCGAUGGGUCGUGUUACGUGCAUGGAAACUUGCUGACGUCAAUCCAGGGAAUAUCCGAAGACACCAAACCCUGGGAGUGAAAACGCCUUUCCGAGAUGCAAUGAGUCGUGCGAUGUGGAUGGAAAUGGAAAUAUCCCAAACCCAGGGAUCCCAUACGACACCAAAGCCGUGGCGGCGUUUCUCUUAAUGCAGGGGAAACGUUUAACCGAGAUUGCGAUGGGUCGUGUUACGUGCAUGGAAACUUGCUGACGUCAAUCCAGGGAAUAUCCGAAGACACCAAACCCUGGGAGUGAAAAUGCCUUUCCGAGAUGCAAUGAGUCGUGCGAUGUGGAUGGACAUGGAAAUAUCCCAAUCCCAGGGAUCCCAUACGACACCAAAGCCGUGGCGGCGUUUCUCUUAAUGCAGGGGAAACGUUUAACCGAGAUUGCGAUGGGUCGUGUUACGUGCAUGGAAACUUGCUGACGUCAAUCCAGGGAAUAUCCGAAGACACCAAACCCUGGGAGUGAAAACGCCUUUCCGAGAUGCAAUGAGUCGUGCGAUGUGGAUGGACAUGGAAAUAUCCCAAUCCCAGGGAUCCCAUACGACACCAAAGCCGUGGCGGCGUUUCUCUUAAUGCAGGGGAAACGUUU